rnacentral:lncRNA from 1 species
GGCUUCAAAGAUGAAGCUUCAGUCUGGCCCCAAUCCGAAAGCCUCCAGUCGUCUAUCGAAGCGCAAGAGACAAAAAAAAUAGCUCUUCCAACCAUGAAUGAAUGAGGGAGCGCUAAAAACUAAGGAAGUAGCACCCCUCUGGGAGGAGACAUACAGCCAGUUGACAUAUGGGUGUUUCUUUAAUGUAAAAAAAACUCGGAAGAGAAGAA